rnacentral:rRNA from 1 species
AUUUGUCUGGUUAAUUCCGAUAACGAACGAGACCUUAACCUGCUAACUAGUCUAUUACAUUUCAUGUAAUUUGACCUCUUAGAGGGACUAUGUAUAUCAAGUACAUGGAAGUUUGAGGCAAUAACAGGUCUGUGAUGCCCUUAUAUGUCCUGGGCUGCACGCGUGCUACACUGAUGCAUACAACAAGUGCCUAGCUAGACAUAGUAUGGCAAUCUCGAAUAUGCAUCGUGAUGGGGAUAGAUCUUUGCAAUUAUAGAUCUUGAACGAGGAAUUCCUAGUAAGUGCAAGUCAUCAUCUUGCAUUGAUUAUGUCCCUGCCCUUUGUACACACCGCCCGUCGCUCCUACCGAUACCGGGUGAUCCGGUGAACCUUUUGGACCUCGCAAGAGGAAAAAUAAGUAAACCAUAUCACCUAGAGGAAGGAGAAGUCGUAACAAGGUUUCCGUAGGUGAACCUGCRGAAGGAUCA